rnacentral:rRNA from 1 species
CGCGUAGGCGGUUGAUUAAGUUGGAUGUGAAAUUCCUGGGCUUAACCUGGGGACUGCAUUUAAUACUGAUUAGCUAGAGUAUGGUAGAGGGGAGUGGAAUUUCCGGUGUAGCGGUGAAAUGCGUAGAUAUCGGAAGGAACACCAGUGGCGAAGGCGACUCUCUGGGCCAAUACUGACGCUGAGGCGCGAAAGCGUGGGGAUCGAACA